AGUGAACGCUGGCGGUAGGCCUAACACAUGCAAGUCGAACGGCAGCACAGUAAGAGCUUGCUCUUACGGGUGGCGAGUGGCGGACGGGUGAGGAAUACAUCGGAAUCUACUUUUUCGUGGGGGAUAACGUAGGGAAACUUACGCUAAUACCGCAUACGACCUACGGGUGAAAGCAGGGGAUCUUCGGACCUUGCGCGAUUGAAUGAGCCGAUGUCGGAUUAGCUAGUUGGCGGGGUAAAGGCCCACCAAGGCGACGAUCCGUAGCUGGUCUGAGAGGAUGAUCAGCCACACUGGAACUGAGACACGGUCCAGACUCCUACGGGAGGCAGCAGUGGGGAGUAUUGGACAAUGGGCGCAAGCCUGAUCCAGCCAUACCGCGUGGGUGAGGAAGGCCUUCGGGUUGUAAAGCCCUUUUGUUGGGAAAGAAAAGCAGCAGGUUAAUACCCCGCUGUUCUGACGGUACCCAAAGAAUAAGCACCGGCUAACUUCGUG
rnacentral:rRNA from 1 species